rnacentral:rRNA from 1 species
GAUGAACGCUGGCUACAGGCUUAACACAUGCCAGUCGAGGGGAAACGACGGGGAAGCUUGCUUCCCCGGGCGUCGACCGGCGCACGGGUGAGUAACGCGUAUCCAACCUGCCUCUGACUGAGGGAUAACCCGUCGAAAGUCGGCCUAAUACCUCAUGGCAUCGUCUGCGGGCAUCCAACGACGAUUAAAGAUUUCAUCGGUCAGGGAUGGGGAUGCGUCUGAUUAGCUUGUUGGCGGGGUAACGGCCCACCAAGGCUACGAUCAGUAGGGGUUCUGAGAGGAAGGUCCCCCACAUUGGAACUGAGACACGGUCCAAACUCCUACGGGAGGCAGCAGUGAGGAAUAUUGGUCAAUGGGCGGGAGCCUGAACCAGCCAAGUAGCGUGCAGGAGGACGGCCCUAUGGGUGGUAAACUGCUUUUAUGCGGGGAUAAAGUGAGGGACGUGUCCUUCAUUGCAGGUACCGCAUGAAUAAGGACCGGCUAAUUCCGUG